rnacentral:tRNA from 1 species
GCAUGGGUAGCUCAGUCGGUAGAGCGACGGCUUGAAAAGCCGUGCGUCGAUGGUUCGACUCCAUCUCCGUGCACCA